AUGGCCAGUUGGCAGAGUGAUCAGAACACACAUAACAUUUAUUGAUGAAGUUUGCUACCUUGGGCUUAUCCAUUGCACUCUGGAUGUGCUGACCCCUGCAAUUUUCCACAAAUGUGAGAAACUUGACUGCAUAAUUUAUGGUAGUGGGAGGCUGCGUUUGCACUCUCCCCUG
rnacentral:snRNA from 1 species